UGGAAUAGGCCCUGGAGCCUGCUGGAGGCUCGUUGGAUCUGACGUGAAAUGGAAGAAUAUUGAGAAGCCUUUCCCUGCCUGAUGCCAGUUAGGGUCCUUAGAGCGGAAGGGCGCUGCACCGUGGCCACAUCUCAUCCUGGCUGCUGCGUGGCGCCAGGAGGCUGUGCACACUGUGUGAACUCCACACCAGCACAGUAGGGCCCUUCUAAGUUCCACCGAAGUUGGCUCUAAGCAAAUACAUGGUGUGAGCUCAACAAAAUGGGAAAUGUUGAUAAAUGAAGCUGCAUUUUCAUGCACUACCCUUGUUAUGCAACCAGUAGUGAUAAGGUGGUUUUGCUUUUGGUGUAAGUCUCAUGUUUGAAACUUGAUUUUUAGUCUGACCAAUGAUGUAUUUGGAUGUAGGAGAAACUGAUUCAAGACAAUUGACUAAUGGUGGAGGUUCACCUUUGAGCACCUUAUUGAUCACUUUAAAGAUUAAACACCAAAGUUUUAAUAUAUUUCUACUAAGGUUUCUUUUCCCUUUGUAUGAGAUGUAAAAUGAUACCCAGAUUCCUGUAUCCAAUAACAUUAUGCUGCUGGUUCGAUCAGCCUUGUAGAAAAUUUAAGGAAAACAAAUUCAUCGGUUUACAAAAAUCUUUUCCUGUGUGCCUGCUCCUCGGUGUGAGAACAGCCAGGGCAGAGCUGUGGUGCCAGGUUCCCAGCUGUGUCCAGGGUACACCCUGGCUGACCAGCUUCCUAUCCUAUUCCUUGUUUUGCGUGACUUUCAAUUUCCUGGCAUGCUUUUAAAAUGCGCUGCACACAAGCAAAUGGCUCCUCAGGCAAGCGAGGCCCAGCAGGCAGCGUGGCUGGACUUUCUGCUCCUCUUAGGCUUGGUCAGUGAGUCACUUGAUGGGACUGGUGUCUUGGGCAGGCUGCUGUCAUGUUUUGUAAACCUAAAAAUGUUUUUCUGUGUUUCUCCAGUUUGAAGAAGGUGAAGAAGGAGAAGAGGAGGAAUUAGAAGGUGACGAGGAGGGAGAAGACGAGGAUGAUGCGGAAAUUAACCCCAAGGUGUAAUUUUUGUCUGUUAAUCAUUCAUACGUUUCUAGAAGGAACCCAGCCAGCCGGCGGAAUGCAAGCAGCAGUAGGAAGCGGAGGCGGGUGCCUGGCAGACCGGCUGUCGGGACUCCAGGCCUGUGGGCGGGGCCUCGGUCCUUGCCGCAGCACAAUCCCGUGGACAGAGCUUACUCCAUCUAACUCGUUUUCAAGUGCAUGAUUUUCACUUUCACUUUUCCUUUUUCCUUAUUAUUUUGCUUAACUUGUACAGUGGCAACUGAAAUGCAUUUCAGAAAUAGGAGGUUUCGUCCAGCACCCUCUGCAGCCUUGGUGCCUGUAGCUCUGGACUUCCCUGGGCCUUUCCCUGUGGGAGGGCCCUGUAGACCACAUCAGGGUGGGGUGGGGGUCACUUGGCAAAAAGGGCCGAGGUCUGGUGAUGUGGUUCCCAGGAUCUGGAACCUCUCCCACCCCUCCUGCAGUUGGACUGAAUUCUUCCCUUUCAUCCGAAGAAACCCACUUGCUGUUUCCAGCCGCUGAAUCUGCUGAGUGUGCAGCCUGCAUCACCUGCUGUAUGCCGAUCAUCUCAGAAAGGGCUGUGUAGAGUAGGGCCCUGUUCUCCUUAGGAUGUUGCUUCUUGAUUUUUUUUUUUUUUUAGGGGUGGGUCAGGGUUGUGACACACCAGCCCAGGUGAGAGCUGCUGCGGGUCACCUCAUAUUUAUUUAUCCCUUCUUGCCUGUGAGGACUGCGGCUUUUCGCUGUGGCUCGUCCUUAACGUUUCUGAACCACCUUGGUGCCCUGAGCAGGAAGAUGUGCCACUUCCUAGCAGGCGCAAGGCCUGUGCGGAAGAAACGCCGCUCCCUGCCACCAGGGCUGAAGAUGCGAGCCCGUCCUCAUGACGCAGGCGCCACCCUGCUGCCGGAGCCGGGCUUCGGCAGUCUUCUCCACUGAGGGACUGGGCUGGGAAGUCCUGCGUUUCAGUGGAGCGUAUGAGCGUCAAGUCCUGCUUUCUCAGUAGCCCCAUUGCGGGGCCCCACCAUUCAUCCUGUCUGAAGGUCCUGGGUUUGGUGUGACCGCUUGGCGGCUGGUGGGUGGGGUUUUCAAGUGGGUGACGGCGCUCUCCGGCAGCCGGGGAUGGCCGUGUCCGCACUGACCAGGCCUGUGGAGAGUGCUCGGCCUAACCUUAGAACACAUUUGUAACUGAAUACAGUGUUUUCAAUUUGUACAGAAUAGUUAGAAUAUUCUAUUAAAGUGGUGAAACAUUG
rnacentral:lncRNA from 1 species